GUGAAUGUUUUAGUACAGGCUGGGGAUUGUUAGACAUUGUUUAUUACUAGAUAAACUGUAUAUUUCCCAAAACAACUGGAUACACACAUGAAAGAUUAUUAGCACAUGUAAUUUACUUAUGUGAUUAGGAAAAUAGGAACUAGAAGCAGGGCCGGCGCAACCCAUUAGGCGACCUAGGCGGUCGCCUAGAGUGCUACAAUUUGGGGGGUGGCAACCGCAGCGGUAUUUCGGCGGCGGGACCUUCCACCGCCUCUGUGGGGGGCGGCAUUUCGAGGUGGGACCUUCCGCCACCUAGGGUGGCAGAAAAGCUGGCGGCGCUCCUGACUGGAAGCCUUUUAGAGGGUAACUACAGUGACUUUUCGGAAAGAACAAAAGUUCCCGAACUACCUUCUCUACGCCACUCAUCUUAUAUACAUAAAAAGCAACAGAGGGUCCUGUGGCACCUUUAAGACUAACAGAAGUAUUGGGAGCAUAAGCUUUCGUGGAAACUGCUGAGGAGAUCCUAUCUUGAGCUUCCAUGUGAUGUUCUGCUUUGAAUUAUUAUUUCAACCAGUUUGCCAGUUUAUAAUUCCCUGGAUCACUCUAGAGCCUUUUUAAAUAUAGGUACAGCAUUUGAUACCCUUCCCAUCCUCCUGAACAGUGUUUACGAGAGUGCCUAUUCUUGUUAGCAGCUCAGCUACUUCCUACUUAAAUUCCUGCAGAACUCUUGGAUGUACCAUUUGGGGUUGGUGACUUACUGCUUUUUAAAUUAUCACCCUACUCCAGUGCCUCCUAACACUUCAAUCUCUGAGAGCACCCACCUUUAUUACCAGAAAACAGCAGAUCUGGGGAAGAAAUCUUCCAACAUUCUAGAUGGUGGAGGCUUGAUGCAAAUCAUAUAACUCCUCAGAUGUGUCCCUCUCUCUCAAUUGUUCCCUUUAAAUUUUAGUGAUCCAGCAGACUCACCCAUUCUUUAUCAAGUAUCUGUUUCUGAAGAAACUUGAAGAAUUUCUUGGCUUGUUUGCUUAUUUAUUUUACACCUUUAUUCGCUCUUUGAAAUCUAUUUGGGACCUUCUAAUUUUCCUCUUACUGCAUGUUGCAACAUGCUCCCAUUUUAAUUGGCUUCACCACAAAUACUGAAGGUUUGAAUAGAUUCUCAAAACUUUCCAUUUAGUCAUAUGGGUUCACUCCUUGCCUUCCUGGUUGAGUGGUAGGGAGCUGUGUUCUUACUGAGGUGUGUGUUUGAUUGUGGGUUUUCUUUCUUCUUUUUUUUUCCCCCCCUGCCUUGCUACCUCUAAGGACUUUACUUCAGUAACUUUUAACUUUAGAGCCUUUUUGACUAAUCAAAACCCCAAUAUAUAAAUUAAACCACAAAUUCAAUUGGGGAUGUUGAAAUGACAAUAAACACUUCAACAGUUUCUCAUUUGCUUUUCCUCAUUGGGUAUUUGUACUGAUAUUCGUUAAACUCCCUCUUAUCCUAAGUGAAGUAUUUGAAUUGAAGAAUGGAUGGAAGGAGACCUUCCUACUUUUGGUAGCUAUCAUUUUCUAACUACUGCUAACUAUCUCUGCAAGGUAUGGCAUUCAUCCCUCAUUCCCAUAGGCACUGCUGUAGAAUCAUUUAUUUUAUUCCUGAAAUGCACCCAACUGUGUCAUAAACCCUAGAUACAGUUGUUAUGAUCAUCAGUGGGGCUCAAAACUGGACCUUUGACACCAAGGCCCCAAUUCAGCAAGGUACCUGAGCACCUAACUUUGACCAUGUAAAUUGCAAUUGAACUAAUUUAUUGUUUAAAGUUAGUCAUGUACUUAAAUACUUUGCUGAACUGCAGCCCAAAUGCACAAAUUUAUACCAGGUGAGCCAACGACUAACUCCAUUAUUAGCUGUGUCAAGGUUUAUCUUUGCCAGAGCCAGUCAUAUGUCCUAAGCCAAUGUAUUACAUACUCCCUGGAAUAAACGCAAAACUAGCUUGUCUAAUGAGAACCAUGCUGUCUGUGGGUCAUUACAUUCAAUUUCAAAGCAUUUCCAUGUAGA